rnacentral:misc_RNA from 1 species
CAAAUCAACAAGUUCUAGGAAUUUCAAGAAUUAAAAUUACAAUUUGACAAGAUUACAAAUCAACAAGUUCCAUGAAUUUCAGGAAUCAAAAUUACAAUCUGCGGAGAACUAAAAUCAAUAACCUAAUACACUCACUUUUUUUGAAAAAUACAAUGUGCAAGAAACUGGUCGAAGAAGAGAACUAGAAGAAGAAAAAAAAAUCCAAGAAUUAGUUUUGCGCCUUACAAAUUGUGUGAAACCUAUGAAUCAGCUAUGGCUUCCACCACCAUGCAUACCACUUGAGCCUCCUUGCAUGGCCACAACAACAUGAAAACAGUACCCAAAGAACUUGAAUCCAGCUGUUGGAAGAUGCCUUCACUGUUGGAGCCACUUGUAAUAUAUGAGCAAGAAGUCUUAGAAGCAACAUCAUUGUGCUUUUUUGGUUGAUGAAUUUCAUAUUCUGACAUUUUCAAUCAAAUGAAGUUCAAACAGAGCUUAUGACAUCUAAUCCAUAACUUGUUAGAGUGGGAUCUGACUUCUCAAGCUUUUUCACAUUGAGAAAGCAUUCCCCAAAACCCUAGCCCUCCUCAAAGCAUGAAGGUGCCAAGAUUCAAAAAGAUAUUGUUGCAAAAAUUUUAAAGUGAUAUCCAUCAUAGUUAAUGGCAAUGGUGAUGAAUGAAGUGAAUUUAGGUUGGU